GAUUUGCGGGAUACAGUGAUCGACUAUGCAUACAUAUGGGGGAAUGUAGAUGAUCCUGGCCUCUAUAGUGAAUGGGAUUUUGAUGUCGACGGCUCUGCCGACGUGAGGGAUCUCAGGUCGCCGUCGCCCUUUGGGAGCUCCCUCUCCUUCCUGCCUUCUUACCGUGGUGCCAGGGAUCAACGUCCAGACGCCAACACGAUAGAGCUAUUGUGCUGCUGCCUCAGGUUGUCCAGGCGCGUCAUCGGUCCCAGCUACCCAUCAUCAAGAUCCGACGUCCUUUGUCCUUUUUUCCGAUUGAUGUUUACGUGGGUGUUGCUGGCUGCUUCCCUCUUGCCCCCUGGCCAGCAGGGUCCUCCAUGACCAGGGCCCCCAAGCUAAGGAGUAACAUGCUGCAGCUUCUGCCCACCACCAUGUAUGAGACAUCGAAAUCUAGGAAGCUGCAGAGAGGCUGGUGCCAAAUCUACAUCAGAACAACGGCAAGUUAACAAACGAGGAAGCUGGAGUUGUACUGUGACUAUUGUUAGAUCUGUUUUUGCACUUCUGAAU